GACGAACGCUGGCGGCGUGCCUAAUACAUGCAAGUAGAACGCACAGUUUAUACCGUAGCUUGCUACACCAUAGACUGUGAGUUGCGAACGGGUGAGUAACGCGUAGGUAACCUGCCUGGUAGCGGGGGAUAACUAUUGGAAACGAUAGCUAAUACCGCAUAAUAUUAAUUAUUGCAUGAUAAUUGAUUGAAAGAUGCAACUGCAUCACUACCAGAUGGACCUGCGUUGUAUUAGCUAGUAGGUGAGGUAACGGCUCACCUAGGCGACGAUACAUAGCCGACCUGGGAGGGUGAUCGGCCACACUGGGACUGAGACACGGCCCAGACUCCUACGGGAGGCAGCAGUAGGGAAUCUUCGGCAAUGGACGAAAGUCUGACCGAGCAACGCCGCGUGAGUGAAGAAGGUUUUCGGAUCGUAAAGCUCUGUUGUAAGAGAAGAACGGGUGUGAGAGUGGAAAGUUCACACUGUGACGGUAUCUUACCCGAAAGGGACGGCUAACUACGUG
rnacentral:rRNA from 1 species